rnacentral:misc_RNA from 1 species
AACGAGGCCGACCUGCGGCUGAGUUACCUGCGGAGGGAUCAUUAAUAAAUGUUACUUCGGUAACUUAAUUAAUCCCUAACACCUGUGCAUCUUGUCGCUUCGGCGUCAUUUUAUAAACAUCAGUGUAAUGAAUGUAAAGUAUUAUAACAAAUACAACUUUUAACAACGGAUCU